CACGUAGGGCGCAAGCAUUGUCCGGAAUUAUUGGGCGUAAAGAGCUCGUAGGCGGUCUGUUGCGUCCGCUGUGAAAACCCGGGGCUUAACCCUGGGCUGGCAGUGGAUACGGACAGACUAGAGGUAGGUAGGGGAGAAUGGAAUUCCCGGUGUAGCGGUGAAAUGCGCAGAUAUCGGGAGGAACACCGGUGGCGAAGGCGGUUCUCUGGGCCUUACCUGACGCUGAGGAGCGAAAGCGUGGGGAGCGAACAGG
rnacentral:rRNA from 1 species